rnacentral:rRNA from 1 species
AGGCCUAACACAUGCAAGUCGAACGGUAACAUGAGAGCUUGCUCUUGAUGACGAGUGGCGAACGGGUGCGUAACGCGUAUGCAAUCUGCCUGUAACUGAGGAAUAGCCCAGAGAAAUUUGGAUUAAUACCUCAUAAUAUUAUUUUGUGGCAUCAUUUAAUAAUUAAAACUCCGGUGGUUACAGAUGAGCAUGCGUUCUAUUAGCUUGUUGGUAAGGUAACGGCUUACCAAGGCAAUUAUAGAUAGGGGGCCUGAAAGGGUGAUCCCCCACACUGGUACUGAGACACGGACCAGACUCCUACGGGAGGCAGCAGUGAGGAAUAUUGCACAAUGGAGGAAACUCUGAUGCAGCCAUGCCGCGUGCAGGAUGACGGCCCUACGGGUUGUAAACUGCUUUUUUACAAGAAGAAACAUUGGUACGUGUACCAACUUGACGGUAUUGUAAGAAUAAGCACCGG